rnacentral:rRNA from 1 species
AGUGAACGCUGGCGGUAGGCCUAACACAUGCAAGUCGAACGGCAGCACAGUAAGAGCUUGCUCUUACGGGUGGCGAGUGGCGGACGGGUGAGGAAUACAUCGGAAUCUACUUUUUCGUGGGGGAUAACGUAGGGAAACUUACGCUAAUACCGCAUACGACCUACGGGUGAAAGCAGGGGAUCUUCGGACCUUGUGCGAUUGAAUGAGCCGAUGUCGGAUUAGCUAGUUGGCGGGGUAAAGGCCCACCAAGGCGACGAUCCGUAGCUGGUCUGAGAGGAUGAUCAGCCACACUGGAACUGGGACACGGUCCAGACUCCUACGGGAGGCAGCAGUGGGGAAUAUUAGACAAUGGGCGCAAGCCUGAUCCAGCCAUCCCGCGUGGGUGAAGAAAGCCUUCGGGUUGUAAAGCCCUUUUGUUGGGAAAGAAAAGCAGCAGGUUGAUACCCCGCUGUUCUGACGGUACCCAAAGAAUAAGCACCGGCUAACUUCGUG